rnacentral:rRNA from 1 species
UACGGGGGAUGCAAGCGUUAUCCGGAAUCAUUGGGCGUAAAGCGCCUGUAGGUUGUCUAAUAAGUCCGUUGUUAAAGACUAGGGCUUAACCCUGGGAAAGCAAUGGAAACUAAUAGGCUUGAGUAUGGUAGGGGUAGAGGGAAUUUCUAGUGUAGCGGUGAAAUGCGUAGAUAUUAGAAAGAACACCAGUGGCGAAAGCGCUCUACUGGACCAUUACUGACACUCAGAGGCGAAAGCUAGGGGAGCGAAAGGGAUUAGAUACCCCUGUAGUCCUAGCCGUAAACGAUGGAUACUAGGUGUUGUGUUUAUAUACAGUAUCGUAGCUAACGCGUUAAGUAUCCCGCCUGGGGAGUACGCUCGCAAGGGUG